rnacentral:rRNA from 1 species
UACGUAGGGGGCUAGCGUUGUCCGGAAUCAUUGGGCGUAAAGCGCGUGUAGGCGGUCCGGUAAGUCCGCUGUGAAAGUCGGGGGGCUCAACCCUCGGAUGCCGGUGGAUACUGUCGGGCUUGAGUACGGAAGAGGCGAGUGGAAUUCCUGGUGUAGCGGUGAAAUGCGCAGAUAUCAGGAGGAACACCGAUGGCGAAGGCAGCUCGCUGGGACGUGACUGACGCUGAGACGCGAAAGCGUGGGGAGCAAACAGG